AGAGUUUGAUCAUGGCUCAGGAUGAACGCUAGCUACAGGCUUAACACAUGCAAGUCGAGGGGAAACGAUAUUGGAAGCUUGCUUCCGAUGGGCGUCGACCGGCGCACGGGUGAGUAACGCGUAUCCAACCUGCCCACCACUUGGGGAUAACCUUGCGAAAGUAAGACUAAUACCCAAUGAUAUCUCUAGAAGACAUCUGAAAGAGAUUAAAGAUUUAUCGGUGAUGGAUGGGGAUGCGUCUGAUUAGCUUGGUUGGCGGGGUAACGGCCCACCAAGGCGACGAUCGAGUAGGGGUUCUGAGAGGAAGGUCCCCCANAUUGGAACUGAGACACGGUCCAAACGUCCUACGGGAGGCA
rnacentral:rRNA from 1 species